rnacentral:rRNA from 1 species
UGGGCGAAAGCCUGACGCAGCGACGCCGCGUGCGGGAUGAAGGCCUUCGGGUUGUAAACCGCUUUCAGCAGGGACGAAGCGAAAGUGACGGUACCUGCAGAAGAAGCGCCGGCUAACUACGUGCCAGCAGCCGCGGUAACACGUAGGGCGCAAGCGUUGUCCGGAAUUAUUGGGCGUAAAGAGCUCGUAGGCGGUCUGUUGCGUCCGCUGUGAAAUCUCGGGGCUUAACCCCGAGCCUGCAGUGGAUACGGGCAGACUAGAGGUAGGUAGGGGAGAAUGGAAUUCCCGGUGUAGCGGUGAAAUGCGCAGAUAUCGGGAGGAACACCGGUGGCGAAGGCGGUUCUCUGGGCCUUACCUGACGCUGAGGAGCGAAAGCGUGGGGAGCGAACAGGAUUAGAUACCCUGGUAGUCCACGCUGUAAACGUUGGGCGCUAGGUGUGGGAUCCUUCCACGGAUUCCGUGCCGCAGCUAACGCAUUAAGCGCCCCGCCUGGGGAGUA